rnacentral:rRNA from 1 species
AGAGUUUGAUCAUGGCUCAGAUUCAACGCUGGCGGUAUGCUUAACACAUGCAAGUCGAACGCGAAAGCACCUUCGGGUGUAAGCAGAGUGGCGGACGGGUGAGUAAGGCAUGGGAAUCUGCCCUAUAGCGGGGGAUAACUUGGGGAAACCCAAGCUAAUACCGCAUACACCUACGGGUAAAAGAUGGCCUCUUCUUGAAAGCUAUUACUAUAGGAUGAGCCCAUGUAAGAUUAGCUAGUUGGUAGGGUAAAAGCCUACCAAGGCUACGAUCUUUAGCUGGUCUGAGAGGACGAUCAGCCACACUGGGACUGAGACACGGCCCAGACUCCUACGGGAGGCAGCAGUGGGGAAUAUUGGACAAUGGGGGCAACCCUGAUCCAGCAAUACCGCGUGUGUGAAGAAGGCCUGCGGGUUGUAAAGCACUUUUAUCUGUGAGGAAGGGUUUAAUGUUAAUACCAUUAGACAUUGACG